rnacentral:rRNA from 1 species
GAUGAACGCUGGCGGCGUGCCUAAUACAUGCAAGUCGAGCGGACAGAUGAGGCGCUUGCUCCUCUGACGUUAGCGGCGGACGGGUGAGUAACACGUGUAUAACCUACCUAUAAGACUGGGAUCACUUCGGGAAACCGGAUCUAAUACCGGAUAAUAUAUUGCACCGCAUGGUGCAUUAGUGAAAGACGGUUUUGCUGUCACUUAUAGAUGGAUCCGCGCCGCGUUAGCUAGUUGGUAGGGUAAAGGCUUACCAAGGCGACGAUGCGUAGCCGACCGGAGAGAGUGGUAGCCGACACGGGAACGGAACCACGGUCAAGACUACUACGAGAGGCAGCAGACGGCAACGUGAGGCAAUGGUCGAGAGCCUGACGGAACAGCGCGGAGUGAGUGACAAAGGUCCUGGGAGCGGAAUGCUGUGUUACUAGGGAAGAACCAAUGUCUAAGUUACUAUGGCGGUAUUGACGGUAACUAGUAAAAAAGCAACGGCUAACUACGUG